GUGAGGAAUAUUGGGCAAUGGGCGAAAGCCUGACCCAGCCACGCCGCGUGAGUGAUGAAGGCCUUCGGGUUGUAAAGCUCUGUGGGGAGGGAAGAAAAAGCGCAGGAGUAACUGCCUGUGUGUUGACGGUACCUCCUUAGCAAGCACCGGCUAACUCUGUGCCAGCAGCCGCGGUAAUACAGAGGGUGCAAACGUUGCUCGGAAUUACUGGGCGUAAAGCGCGUGUAGGCUGACAUACAAGUCGGGUGUGAAAUCCCAGGGCUCAACCUUGGAACUGCACUCGAAACUGCACGUCUUGAGUACUGGAGAGGGAAGCGGAAUUCCGGGUGUAGAGGUGAAAUUCGUAGAUAUCCGGAGGAACACCAGUGGCGAAGGCGGCUUCCUGGACAGUAACUGACGCUGAGACGCGAAAGCGUGGGGAGCAAACAGGAUUAGAAACCCGGGUAGUCC
rnacentral:rRNA from 1 species